UGCAAUCAUGAAGACCCAAGUUCAGAUCCUUACAAUUUGCUUAAAAGCUAGACAUAUAACAUUAGUGUUUUUAAUCUCAGUGCUGCUAUAGGGAAAAUACAGAUCAAGGUAGGAGAAACUCUAGAAACCCUUGGACCAGCUUUCUGAGCAGAAAAACAAUAAUGAAAAAAAAAAAAACUUCAACACAACCCCCCCACCAUCACCACCUCUGGCAAAGGUUUUCUUAUAUCAGAGAGGGGCAGAGUAGAUGGCAGUUCUUUGUUCAUCCUAGCUUGAUGGAUGGCAUGGUGGUCAAAGCUCUCUUAUGCUUAGGACUUAUAUUAAUCAAACCAAAUCAAAUCAAAUCAAACCAAAUCAAAUCAAAUCCAAGCAGCAUAACACAGAAGUGGGAAAAGAGGCAGAGACUUGAGACCUGCCAAGCCACCCACAGAGGUUCUCUCCAGGGCACCAUGCAGGCAGCUGAAGACACCUUUUGCUGCCAUGACAUCCAUCACAUAUGGAGGAUGUCACUGAAGGGCCCACCAGCUGCAUGGCAGGGGCCACCAUAAUGUCCAAAUGUGUGGUGACAGAUGGGAGAGAGAGAGAGAAGUGGAACAGCUUGAGCAUUAUGAAGAGAGAUGCAACUGGAGACUUUAGAAUAGAGAGGAAUAAUCUAUUCUGAGUGGCCAGCCCUGUCACUUGGGUCCAUGUUAAAGUCUCAGAGCUGCAACUGAAGGCCACAUCUGAAUUCAUGGCUACACAGCAGGAGGGAUUGGUGUUGAUGUCCAUGGUUGAUAUUACCACUGUAGAAAACACGGGGAUGUCUCUGGUCAGUUCAGCCACCAGGGACCACAUGAAUGUCCAGGAGCUGUGUAGAACUAACUCUGCCCCUUACCGGAUGCUGUGAUCUAGAAAUGUGCCACACCUCUCAUUAGCAUCUGCAUUGAAGAAAGCAGGUUCUACAUCUAACCAAGGCAGGAGAGUGGAGCUGGCCAUGGUGGCAAGGGUGGAUGAGCAAGCCCCAAGCUGACUUCCAACUAGCCUACCAUGGGAUGGCACAGGCACAGAGAUGAUAUGCCUUCCCUCUUUUCACUACUGUCAUUCAGGAAAGCUUCCGACAGGAUCUUGAGUUCAGGGGAGCUAGAAGUACCCAUCACCAGGUACAAUGCUCAGGAAAGUAGGCUCUGCACUUUACCCAAACAGCACAGUAGAGCUGACCCUGGUGGCAGGAAGAACAGUCUUGAGGGGGAGAGUGUGGGAGAGCUGGCCCUGACACUCUUCAGCAGUAAGGUGGCCUGGUUGCAUGGGUGGCAGCAGUCAGGAGAGCUGGCUCAUGAAAGCAUAUGAGCUGGCCCUAUUCAUCCCCACCUGCAGAACUUUGUUGAGUGGGCCCUGCACCUCACCUGAGCACCACAGUAGUGCUGGCCCUGGUCAAAGGAAAACAGGUGAGUCACCCCAAGGACAGAGAGAGGGAGAGAUGAGCCCACCACCCAUUUACUGUGAGGUGCUAUAGGUCUAGCGAUCUGGCCCUGGGGCUAUGAAGGUAGAUGAGCUGGUCCUUCCCAUGGGCAGUUGCAGCACUUGGAAGAGUGGCCCUACACUUCUGAGCAGCACAGUAGAGCUGACUCUGGUAAUAAGCAGGUGGUUACAGGCAAGCCAGCCUGACAAGAUCUGGGGAUAGUUGACCCCACUACUCCUCUACUAUGAGAUGGUCUGGAGGGGAAGUCCCCUCUGCCCCCUCUUCCCUUUCCACCUGACACAGUUUGGAGAGCUGACCCCAGGGUCAUGAGAUCAAAUGAGCUGGCCCUACUUCUUGACAGAGGCAGCUUUAAGGAGAGUGGACCCUGUAUUCCACCUGUGCAACACAGUGGAGCUAGCUCAAGAUGAGCUAGCUAGUCUGAAGGCAUGGAAGCAGAAGGGAUGACCCUGCUUUGUACAGAUGGCUGAAUUAUGUAGUUUAGCCAGAGCAGUGCUGAAGAACUCACCCUGGUGAUGCUGAUAAGGGAGAAACUGAGGCUGACCAGCUCAACUACCAACCAGACCGAAAUUUAAGGCCCUGAAUUGGCCCACCCCAAAACCUAUAUAAUCUGCAAAUGACUGGGGCAUGUGAAAGGGCCAGUCCUGCUGUUAAAAAGCUGUGAGAUCUCGAUGGCACAGGGCAACAACAGUAUAACUGGAAGAGGGUCUUAAAAUUGAUGGUGUCACAAAAGCAAGAGAUCUUGAACCAGACAAAUGAUUCAUUACAAUGAGUAUUUUUAAGUGAAGAUGUGUAGACAGAGGGAUAUACUGUGACACACUACAGCUUCCAUGAUGAGAUGAUAUCUAUGUUUGUUUUCAUUUUUGGGGUGUGUGUGUGUGUGUGUGUGUGUGUGUGUGUGUGUGUGUUUUAUUUUGGGUGGGGAAUGAAAGGGUAAAGUGCAGAUACGAGGGAUGGGGAGAUGAGCAGCGAGACCGAGGUACAAAAUAUGAAACUCACAAAUAAUCAAUAAAAAAGUUUAAAAAAAAAACCCUUCAAGCAAAUUAGAAUGUGCAAGGAAUUAUCUUCUAACCACAUGUUUCAUGGUAUAUGCACACCCAUUUUCACACUCAUUAACACACACACACAAGUACCAUGAUUUAACUUUUUUCAUUACCCAAGAACAAAUAAGUGUUCUCCUGUAAUACAACUUCUAGAUUGAAUGAUGUGUGCCUGCUCUUUUAGGCACCAUCAGAGACUUCAACUAUUGGCUUUGGCUGCACCUAUUCUCUGCUGUUCUGCAUUCUUUAUCAUGUUGGCAUCAGAGCAAGGAUCUUUCAGCCAUAUCCUCUUCCUAGUUUAAUACCAAUGUGGGAAAUGUAACUAUAACUAUCCUGAAACAUGGGCACCAUGCAAAAUUAUAUACUGAACUAAGAGACUUUACGAUUUAAUUGAUUUGUAUCCAGUAUCAUUAUAAUGGUUUGAAGUUGUCCAACAGCACUUAUAUAAUUGCUGACAUGCUUCUAGGAACAACUGAAGUUAAUCAGAAGCAACUUGCUCUCAUUUCAUCUAAGCUAUUCAUCUCCAGCUAUCUUCAGAUUUACCAGGCAUCAUUAAAUUUGACUAUUGAAAUAAAAGAGCUUAAGAUUACUCAUAAACAGGUCAGAGAAAAAUAGGAGCACAGUGACUGUAUUUUGUGCUUCCUAAUGUAUCAAUUAUGGAAAUCAAGGUUAAUUUAAGGUAAUCAUUGUCUGACCUCAUUACAUAUACAAGUUUAUAUGUCAAAAACAUAAUCAGACUCAGAGCGUUGCUCACUUACAAGUCUACAUGAAUUAGAGCAUUUUCUCUUCUCAGUUGGAUAUUUUAAGCAAGGGAGAAAUAGGCAAAUGAAUAAAACAUGGUAAUAGAGUGUAAUAAAGGAGAAAUUGAGACACAUCUGCUAAGAAAUAUCAUAGAUAGCAUACAGAUAUCACUGACCAUUAGAGUGACUUACCAGGAAAGAUUUUGAUAUUUUUAAUCCCUAAAGUAAUUAUGUGAUAAAUCUUACUGAGUUUGGAUUUUAUUAAAAAUUUUAAGAAUAUAUAAAAAUGGAUUAAAGUUUCAGCUUCCUAGAUUUAACAGUCAUUUUUAAUAUGUAACAGCUCAGCAGUUUUAAUGAUUAUCACCAAGUAAUUUUAGUCUUUAAAUUGAUAUAGAAAUAACUUCAGUUGGUACAGUUAUAUAUCAGGUACUGGUAUAAGGCACUAUGAAGCAAAAUUCGUGAAAUAAAUGCUUGAUUUUACAUUUUAGUCAUUUGUCCAUAAAAUAUGUGCUUAUGUGCAAACAUCAUGACUUCAGCUAGUGUCCCGCAACCCUCUGGGGAAGGGGUAAUGGAAGAAAAGCUGAAGAUUUUGCUAGAAUAAAUUGUACUUUUUGUAACAAACUCAAUACAACAUGCAUUUUGAGUACAUUUUGAGUCCUUCCUGC
rnacentral:lncRNA from 1 species